AGCUCACUUCUUUAUUUGAAUCUUGCUUUAAGCUGCUUCAAGAUGAAAAACACCUUGCUGCUAAUCACGCUCAAAAGAAGUUUGACAAACUCCAAGAUCAGUCAAUGUCUGUUACAGAGGAGAAAAAUGCUCUACAGUUGGUUAAUCAGGAAUUGAGCAAUAAAGUCAUUGAACUUCAGAAAGAGCAAGAAUAUGCAAUGGUACAGCAUGCAGAAGAAUGUCGUUUAGCAGAAGAGACAGUUCGUAGGUUAGAAUCUGAAUUAGAGACGCUCAAAUCAAAGAAGAACGAAAUGGAAGUGCUGAUUGCCAAAUUGCAGGAUGAUAUUGGAACCUUAUCAGAAAAUUCCAGAACAUCUGAUGAAAAAUUGGUGAAUACCUGUGAGCAAAUACUUUGUGCCAUGUGGCUGCUUCUUAUACUGACCUUAAUCCAAUGUUUACUUCAUUGCAGCAAGAUUUCAUGUUGAAAAUUUCUGAGCUGGAAAUUGAAAACAAACGUUACAUUGAUGAGCUACAAUCAGAUAUAACCAAAAAACAAGAUGAGAUUGAUCUUUUGAGAAAGGAGAUGGAGAAUCGUGAUCAACAUAUAGAUUCACUGGAGAAGCAAGUGAUUCAGCUUAAUGAUACACAGAAGGAGAUCGAUAGACUUGUUUUGGAACUCAAAGACAGAGAGAAACAGUUGGAAGAACAGAAAGCAAAGGUUCCACAACUAGAUAGUCAAAUUUAUUCACUAUAUUGCUGUUUUUUUGAACAGUUUUGCCUAUCAAUAUGGUUUUCUGGUGGCAUGUCACAGAUUGAGGAAUCACUAAGUGAUGCUGAAACUAAACUUUCUGAAGCUAAGAAGCAAUAUGAUCAGAUGUUAGAAAGUAAACAGUUAGAACUGUCAAGGAAUUUGAAGGAAAUAUCGCAGAAAAAUGAUCAGGUCAAAUCUUCCAUUACAAAGUUUUUAUGAUUUUGCAAAAUUGUUUUCUUUGUGUUUUCUGAAUUUAAUCUAAUUCUCUUCAAUCAAUUUGGGGCUUGGAUCAGGCCAUUAAUGAUAUCAGGAGGAAGUACGAGGUGGAAAAGUUGGAAAGUGCUAGUAUUGAGAAAGAAAAGGUAUGCUAUUUUGUAUUCUUUUCCAAAACAAUCUUUUGUUGGACAUCAACAUUCUUGCCUCUUUGCCCAUUUCAGGCUGACAAAGUUAUUGGAGAGAUGGAAAGAAACUGUCAGCUGAAGCUUGAAGAAUACAAAGAGGAAUCAAGACAGUACUUGCUGCGGAUACAGGAGGAACAUGCUGCUUUGGUAUGUGCAGAUGUUGAUCUUUAAAAAUAUUUACUACCAUAGUCAAUCUGGGGGAUUUACCAAUUUGAAGUGUGUUAUCACAAGAAGCAUUCCUUUUCCAUUUUUUAGUAUUUUUCUUUAUUUGUUUCUUUAUUUCAUUUUUGGUUUGUUGAGCUUAUUUAAAGCUUCUGUUAGGUCUCUAAGGUAGAGUUUCACUGCAAAAAAUGUUUAUACAGUAACAUGAUGAUAUUACACAUUGUUUUGAGAAUGAAUCUGGGUUAACUUCAGUUCAUGGAUUUUGUAGAUUAGUCGCAUUCAACAAGAGCAUGAUAAAAAGGAACUACUUCUUAUGUCCAACCAUUCUGAAGAGAUUAAGCAGGUCCAGCUUCAAGCUGAAAAGGAAUUGAGAGAGGUAUAUGCCAUCAAAUUCAUAGAGCAAGCAUUGCAAAUUUGUUCAGAAAAGCAUUGGAAAUUUGCAUCUUUUGUCAUUUUGUUUCAAAUAUGUGUGACAUUUUGUAGAAAACAACAUCAAUGCGGAAUGAACAUGAAAUCCAGUUAAGAGCUUUGAAGUGUGAGCAUGAAGAUGAGUGCAGAAGAUUACAAGAGGAGUUGGAUAUUCAGAAGUCUAAAGUAUGUCCUUAUUGCUUGUAUAUUAGACAUUCUGCAAUAUUUUCAUGCAAUAAUCUGUGCUUCAGGAAGAGAGGCAGAGGGCUUUACUGCAAUUACAGUGGAAAGUAAUGGCUGACAAUCCACAAGAUGACCAAGAAGUGAACUCAAAAAAGGUAAACAAGUUUAUGCAUUAAGUUCAAUUGGGCCAAUCAAAAAAGUAUAUUCUCUCUUCCAUAGUUCUUACCUCUCUCCUUCCUCCUCUAGUGAUUAGAAGAGCAGAAAUGAGUUUGUUUUCUGGUUUGGCACAUCCUGGUGUUAGGUAUUUUGCAAGAUAUACAUUUCUCCUGGAUGGUUUCACUUCAGAAGGGUUUAGGAUCUUCAUACUUUGGGCCAUUUGGAAACAUUCUUACAAAAUACUUAAAAUGUGAAGGUUGUUCUAGUGAUGUGUAAUCAGUAGUAAUAAAAACUCUUGUUUCUCUAGGUAUGAUAUGGAUCAACUAAUUUUCAAAAUGAAUGCUGGACUAUAUCCCCCACGAUCUUUCUACUUUAUUACUCAUAACAUGAUAACUCUAUUAAAAACUGUGCUAGUUUCAGAGAUGGUUCCAUUUUUCUCAUAGAUCAAAGCUGAAAGCGUGCUUCCUAAUUCUCCUCUCUUUCAUUCCAGCAGAGAGAAAUGAAUCUGUUACUGUAGUACUUACUUGCAAAUGUUCACUAUAAUAAUGCAUAUUUGUACUUCCGAAUUUUCACAUCAUUUCAUUUUAAAUUAUGGGGAAUCAUCUCAUAUUUCCUGCAACAGAGUGAUAUUUUAAGCAUUGAAUCAUUAUUUCUUUCUUAUGCAUUUCUUUUAGUUUUCCAUCUGCGUGAAUUAUUGUGCAUUUAUCAUAAUAACUGUUUGGAAGAAUUCAACUUUACAGAACUACUCUGUUUCAUCCACCAAGAUGAGAAAUUCUGAAAAUGACAAAAGAGGUCAUCACACUGCUGGGAGACGAGAAGUUGAACAAACGGUGAUAUACAGAGUGCAAAAUUGUAGUCCUUUGUCUAUACUGCUUACAGCAAAUUGCAUUCUUAAACCUACUAAUGUCUCUGCAGGAUUCACCUUAUCUGACAGCAACUCAAACACCUGUGUCCAACUUGCUAAGAAAAGCGGAGAAGGGGAAUACAGGAAAUGUCAUGAGUCUUCCCAAGCAUAGUAGGAAGGUGUGCCUCUAGCUGUGUAUCAUGAAAAUAAACGGUAGUAUGCUAAGGUGUUCUCUCAAAUAUUUAAUCAAUUAGGAAGCUAGGAACCUUUAACUUUGAAGGUAAAAAGAGCAGGGAAGUGAGCACUAAUAAAAAAAAAGGAAGCCUGCCAGUCUAUAUUUUUACAAUGAAAGAGAAAUCCAUGACCCGUAUCAGUUUUCCUAUCCCUCGCUCUCCUUUUUUUUCUUUUUCGUCAAUUUUAUCUAUAUCUCAAGAAAGACAUGGAAAAUUCAGUUCAUGCUUCUGAAUAUCAUUGAUCAGUUCUUUGUAUUCGCAGAAAAUUCAGCCCAACUCUUUGUACCCACUUGUCUAACCUCCUUUCCUUGCUUAAGCAGGUCACUCAUCAUGAAUAUGAAGUCGAAACAGCAAAUGGAAGAACAAUUACAAAAAAAAGGAAAACCAAAAGUACUGUAAUGUUUGCGGUAUGUAAUUUUGGUUUCUGAUCAGUAUGCAUUGUUGUAGGGGGACGAUUCUUUAUGUGUAUAUUUCUUGGUUAUGUGUAAUUGUCUCUAUUACUACAGGACCCAAGCAGACAUAAAAAGCUAGAGACACCAAAAGCUGUUACACCUAGAGCUGUUACUAAGGUAAUUAAACAAUGAACUAGGAUAAAUUUUCCUUCUCAGUGUCAUCAUGCUGGUUGUUUUAGCUUUUGAUCUUUUGUGGAGUGUCAGUCAUGUCUCACCCAACAAGAAGUAGUAUUUUUGCCUAUUUUUGAUGAAUGGGAUGUACUAGACAAACAAUAAUUGUGCUCACGAAAUUCUCUUACCUUGAAAUGGUGUUACUCUUAUUCAUAUCAUUUAGGAUUAAGUUGUGAUUACUAAUAGAUUAAUGCAAUGAAACAGAGCAAUUGGUUAAGGUAAAGUAGAAACAAGGAGAAAUUUAACUGUAUGGGAUGAAGGUUGUCUCUGUGUACUACAAGAUGCCUUGUGAUUACGGUCACAUAUAAUUUUAUGUUAUGUGUGCUGACAUUUGUGAUUGGAAUUUCACGAUAGGGAACAAAGGGACAAGUUCAUACAAAUUCAUCUAAUAUAGGUGAUCUGUUUUCAGAAGGAUCUCUGAAUCCUUAUGCAGAUGAUCCCUAUGCAUUUGAUUAGAGGUAUCCCCGUUUCAUGUUAGUUGUAUUUGAAUCGCAGUACUUUAAUUAAUGUGCAGUUGACCUUUCCUGCAUUGGGUUAAUAGUUCAUGUACUCAGGUGCAAGACUUACUCCAUAAACUAGACAAUUAUUUUUAAUUUUUUUGCUACUGGAAAUGGAAUAGGACAGAGCUUUUGAUUGUUAAACAUUUUCCUUUUUAUCAAGUAUGAAGUGUUUGGGUCGACUGUGAAGAAGCCAGUGCAAAAAAAAAAAAAAAGAAAGGAUUUGUCUACAAAAAAGGUUGCUUCUACCCACUGAUUAUUCUAUAAGAGAGACAAUAUAAUUUAUUGCAUGCAUUGUUUUCUAUGUCCUGAGCUACAUUAGACGAGGAAACUUAUUUAAACGUUUAGCUUGUUCAAUAUUGAUCAGGUAUAAUACUAUGAGAUCAUUUUGGUAAAUCUGCAGUCUGGCAUGACUACUGAAUGUUCAGUUGUUCUUGAUACUGCUAAGGAGCUGUUUCUCUUAGUCAAGUUGUUUGUAGUAUCAAAUCGCUGCUGCAUCUGGAUUUCAGCAGGAACUGUAUCAUGCAAUAGAAGGCUUUGCAAAUGGAGGAUGAAACUUUUUAAUUCUAGACAUUUUAGCACACAAAAAUUGUACAUUGCAACUGUAAUAAUGUUCCUUCAUUGAAAACAAGAAUUAAACGCUUACUUGUGUCUGAAAUGCGAAAUUGCCUGUUUUCGCGGCUCCAGAACUCUUAUCUGGAAGUUUGAUUGUAUAUAGUGGAGGCAUAUAUCUGGACGAGUAGGCUGCUUAUUUUAGCCGCAAUCUGCUGUCAUACAGGGUCAUCGUACAAAUGGAAACUUGAGGUGAAAAGAAAUCCUUGCAGGUGUCACAGCUUUAUCAAUACCCAAAUUCGUUAGUUUCUCCCCAUCACGGAGCUCUUGUUAAAGAUGUAUGGCCAAUAUUGCAUUCCCCUAUGCAUCUUGAUUUUUGGUGGAAGAGGUUAUGUGACGAAUUACAAAUAUUCUUUCGAAUUAAAAUACUUCUAAGUUCAACGCCUACCAAAAUUUUCUAAUGUAGAAAGCGUACAACUAUGGAAAUUGACGUCCAACUUCGCUACAAUUUAACAAUUUCUCCAGAAGAUGAAAAAUCCAAUCAUG
rnacentral:lncRNA from 1 species